rnacentral:rRNA from 1 species
CGUAGGUGAACCUGCGGAAGGAUCAUUAUUGAAUUAAUAAAAGUGGGCUUUCUUUUAGUUGGCUGAUGCUGAUGUUUCCGUCAAACGAAACAUAUCUUUGUGCUCGCCGACGGAGGGGUUCAUUUUUUAUUACCUUCUUUUCCACCUGUGAACUUUUGUAGAUGUUGAAGAUCGCCUCUCAAGCAAUUCGUAAGAAUUGAUUGGUUUGGAGUUUGCGGGCGUCAUUAAGUUGAUGUCAGCUUUCUCUGUUGGUCUUCACGUCUAUUUUACAUAUACCCUUAUUUCAGUUUAGAAGGACAUGAUUGGGCUUUUAUGCCUAUAAAUCAAUUAUACAACUUUCAGCAACGGAUCUCUUGGCUCUCGCAUCGAUGAAGAACGCAGCGAAUUGCGAUAAGUAAUGUGAAUUGCAGAAUUCAGUGAAUCAUCGAAUCUUUGAACGCACCUUGCGCUCUUUGGUAUUCCGAAGAGCAUGCCUGUUUGAGUGUCAUUAAAUUCUCAACCCAUUUCAUUUGUUUAUCAAGUGAAGUGUGUGUUGGAUGUGGGGGUUGCGGGCUUUCAUUCAGUUGAAGUCGGCUCUCCUGAAAUGCAUUAGCGGAAACCUUUGUUGGACCGCUUCUAUUGGGUGUGAUAAUUAUCUACGCCUAGGAAGCGCGAAAGCACUUGGGUUCAAUUUUGAACCGGGGUUUUGCUUCUAAUCGUCCAUUCACUUGGACAAUUUACUUUGACAUUUGACCUCAAAUCAGGUAGGA